rnacentral:rRNA from 1 species
UGCCUACGGGACGCAGCAGUGGGGAAUAUUGGGCAAUGGGCGCAAGCCUGACCCAGCAACGCCGCGUGAAGGAAGAAGGCUUUCGGGUUGUAAACUUCUUUUCUGAGGGACGAAGAAAGUGACGGUACCUCAGGAAUAAGCCACGGCUAACUACGUGCCAGCAGCCGCGGUAAUACGUAGGUGGCAAGCGUUAUCCGGCUUUAUUGGGUGUAAAGGGCGUGUAGGCGGGAAUGCAAGUCAGGUGUGAAAACUAUGGGCUCAACCCAGAGCCUGCAUUUGAAACUGAAUU